rnacentral:lncRNA from 1 species
UCAUAUUCUCCUUAAAGACCUCUUUCCAUUUCAGUAAAUGGUCAUGACGAAUAAGGACCUGAAUCCGAUCACCCUAACAAAAUGAAAAUAAUCUUCUUUUUAUAUGUUAUACAAAAAAGCAUUUUGUUGUAAUUACUAACUAUCAUACAAAAAUCUAUACUUAAAAAAAGAAAAGCAAUUUACCAAGGAAUCCAUAACAAUCAUCUCCAAAUGUUCAAUACCCUUAUUAUUCACAACACUCCAAACAUCCAUUAUUCGAACAGCAAGACGCCAAGUUUCUUUUGAGUN